ACACAUGCAGUCGAGCGGUAACAGAGAGUAGCUUGCUACUUUGCUGACGAGCGGCGGACGGGUGAGUAAUGCUUGGGAAUAUGCCUUUACGUGGGGGACAACAGUUGGAAACGACUGCUAAUACCGCAUAAUGUCUUCGGACCAAAGGAGGGGACUCUUCGGAGCCUUUCGCGUAAAGAUUAGCCCAAGUGGGAUUAGCUAGUUGGUGGGGUAAUGGCUCACCAAGGCGACUAUCCCUAGCUGGUUUGAGAGGAUGAUCAGCCACACUGGGACUGAGACACGGCCCAGACUCCUACGGGAGGCAGCAGUGGGGAAUAUUGCACAAUGGGCGAAAGCCUGAUGCAGCCAUGCCGCGUGUGUGAAGAAGGCCUUCGGGUUGUAAAGCACUUUCAGUCGUGAGGAAGGGGUAGUAAUUAAUACUUGCUAUCUUUGACGUUCGCGACAGAAGAAGGACCGGCUAACUCCGUGCCAGCAGCCGCGGUAAUACAGAGGGUCCGAGCGUUAAUCGGAAUUACUGGGCGUAAAGCGUACGCAGGCGGCUUGUUAAGCCAGAUGUGAAAUCCCCGGGCUCAACCUGGGAAUGGCAUUUGGAACUGGCAAGCUAGAGUUUUGUAGAGGGUGGUAGAAUUUCAGGUGUAGCGGUGAAAUGCGUAGAGAUCUGAAGGAAUACCAGUGGCGAAGGCGGCCACCUGGACAAAAACUGACGCUCAUGUACGAAAGCGUGGGGAGCA
rnacentral:rRNA from 1 species